GUUGAAUCCAAAAUUGGACACAGCCCCCCCAAAUAAAAAAAAUACAGAAGUAUAUAUAUUUUAAUUAUGCAAAACUAUGUAUCAUCCUGUAAUAGGAGCAGGAACCCCUUGCAUUGAGCCUGGAUGCCCUUCCAUCUUCAUUACGCAGGGGGCCAGUCUCUCACCUUGCAGUAUUGGGUAGAAAUAGCUAAAGACUUAACUUCCCGUCUCAACUCUCACUUUCAACAUUUAUUUUGUAAUUUAAGAAAAUGAGUCAACCCCAUCACCUGCCCAGCUGGGUAUUUUCUUUAUCGAGACUAAGCACAUCAUUAUUUUCUCAGGGCUGGAGCAACCGCGCAGUCCUUUUUAAUCAAAGGUUUUUCAAUCAGCGUUGGCUUUGAAAUCACCUCGUCCUCCAGCGGUCCUCGCCGCACACCUAUCUCCGCGUGAUUUCCACUCAAGUUUUUUCCUCCUAGCACCCCUCCCACAUUCAUUUCAUCUUUAAGCCGCCUCAAAUCCUUUUGCAAGGAAGCAGGAUAAAAUUCUUAAACCACAGUUACACACCAUGUCAACACUCAGCUUCACACAUUUGAGGGUUGUCUGACCGAGAAAUGCGUUCCUUACUAAGAGGUCCAAGGGGAGGCACAGUGCCCAGGCGACCCCUGUAGUCUCCCUCCGCGUGCCCCACCCCCGCCGCCUUUGCGCCUCAGAGGGGGCAAAAAUCCCUAAACCAGCGCUUGAGCUCCUGACCCGCGGAGGGGGCGAGCCGGGAAGCCGAGGACGUCCCCGGAAGCAUGCGCCCCUCACCUUGUGGACGGUGCGUGCAGCCGCGCCGCACUCGGUGACCUGCGGCGUCCCGCUGGCUCCCGAAGUCUCACUCCGAACACGCUCGGUUCUCUCCCGAGCUUUAUCAAAGCACAGCUUCUCUCGACAGCGGGCUCCGGAGCACUGGCCCCUCGAGCGUCCUCUGCCCGCGCCCGUGCCCCCAGGCUGUGGGGGAAGGAGCCGGGAGCGCGGCGCGCCGGGCAACCCCGUGGCGCUGCCGGCGGCAGGCCCUGCGCUUUGCGAAGUCUGGGCGCCCCGACUGGAAGAGGAGGCGAGAGCGAGAGCUGGGAGGAGGAGAAGGAGGAGGAGCGGGAGCCGGAGCGGAGCAGGAACAAGAGCAGGAGCAGGGAGCAGUCUACUAAAUCACCGGCAGGUUGCAGUCGCCCAGGACACCACUGACGGCGGAGGGGGUGGGAGGGACCAAAAGCUUUCUCCUAGGAUGCUGGAAACUUACUUAAAUAUUUGA
rnacentral:lncRNA from 1 species